AACGAACGCUGGCGGCAGGCCUAACACAUGCAAGUCGAGCGAAGCCUUCGGGCUUAGCGGCGGACGGGUGAGUAACGCGUGGGAACGUGCCCUUUGGUACGGAAUAGCCCCGGGAAACUGGGAGUAAUACCGUAUGUGCCCUUCGGGGGAAAGAUUUAUCGCCAAAGGAUCGGCCCGCGUUGGAUUAGGUAGUUGGUGGGUGAAUGGCCUACCAAGCCGAGGAUCCAUAGCUGGUUUGGGAGGAUGAUCAGCCACACUGGGACUGAGACACGGCCCAGACUCCUACGGGAGGCAGCAGUGGGGAAUCUCAGACAAUGGGGGAAACCCUGAUCUAGCCAUGCCGCGUGAUCGAUGAAGGCCUUAGGGUUGUAAAGAUCUUUCAGUGGGGAAGAUAAUGACUGUACCCACAGAAGAAGCCCCGGCUAACUCCGUGCCAGCAGCCGCAGUAACAC
rnacentral:rRNA from 1 species